rnacentral:rRNA from 1 species
AACGGGAUUAGAUACCCCGGUAGUCCACGCCGUAAAUGAUGGAUACUGGACAUUGGUACUCGAUCGUAUCAGUGUCUCAAGCUAACGCAUUAAGUAUCCCGCCUGGGGAGUACGGUCGCAAGAUUAAAACUCAAAGGAAUAGACGGGGACCCACACAAGCGGUGGAGCAUGUGGUUUAAUUCGACAAUAAGCGAGGAACCUUACCAGGGCUUGACAUCCCGAGAAUUCUUUAGAAAUAGAGAAGUGCCUUUAUGGAACUCGGUGACAGGUGCUGCAUGGUUGUCGUCAGCUCGUGCCUUGAGGUGUUCGGUUAAGUCCGUAAACGAGCGCAACCCUAGUCCUAUGUUGUAUAUUUCAUAGGAGACUGCCUUGUCCAACGAGGAGGAAGGUUAGGAUGACGUCAAAUCAGCAUGGCCCUUAUGUCCUGGGCGACACACGUGCUACAAUGGUCGGUACAAUGGGUAGCCAACCCGCGAGGGGGAGCCAAUCCCAUCAAAGCCGGUCCAAGUUC